rnacentral:ncRNA from 1 species
UUAGAAGCGUUGAGAGGGAAUAGUACGCGGACAACAUGUGAUAAGAGAGUGGUCUCACCGGCUGAAAGGACCAUCACCGCUGUUGUAGCUGAACCUGCCCUUGAGCUGUUAGGUUAAACCCUAACCGUCUUUCCACGAUACGGAUAUCGAGUGGGCAUAAUUAUGCCAAUCAAGGUGGUACCGCGGAUGCAACCCUUCCGUCCUUAUU